CCUACGGGAGGCAGCAGUGAGGAAUAUUGGUCAAUGGACGCAAGUCUGAACCAGCCAUGCCGCGUGCAGGAAGACGGCUCUAUGAGUUGUAAACUGCUUUUGUACGAGGGUAAACGCAGAUACGUGUAUCUGUCUGAAAGUAUCGUACGAAUAAGGAUCGGCUAACUCCGUGCCAGCAGCCGCGGUAAUACGGAGGAUUCAAGCGUUAUCCGGAUUUAUUGGGUUUAAAGGGUGCGUAGGCGGUCGGAUAAGUUAGAGGUGAAAUCCCGAGGCUCAACUUCGGAAUUGCCUCUGAUACUGUUAGGCUAGAGAGUAGUUGCGGUAGGCGGAAUGUAUGGUGUAGGGGUGAAAUGCUUAGAGAUCAUACAGAACACCGAUUGCGAAGGCAGCUUACCAAGCUACGUCUGACGUUGAGGCACGAAAGCGUGGGGAGCAAACAGGAUUAGAUACCCGGGUAGUC
rnacentral:rRNA from 1 species